rnacentral:rRNA from 1 species
GCGGCGGACGGGUGAGUAACGCGUGGGUAACCUGCCCCUCAGCCCGGGAUAACCGUCGGAAACGAUGGCUAAUACCGGAUGCUGUAUACAUAUCGCAUGAUGUGUAUACGAAAGUUCAGGCGCUGAGGGAUGGGCCCGCGUCCCAUUAGCUAGUUGGUGAGGUAACGGCUCACCAAGGCGACGAUGGGUAGCCGGCCUGAGAGGGUGACCGGCCACACUGGGACUGAGACACGGCCCAGACUCCUACGGGAGGCAGCAGUCGGGGAUCUUCCACAAUGGGCGAAAGCCUGAUGGAGCGACGCCGCGUGAGGGAUGAAGGUCUUCGGAUCGUAAACCUCUGUCUUCCGGGACGACAAUGACGGUACCGGAGGAGGAAGCCACGGCUAACUACGUGCCAGCAGCCGCGGUAAUACGUAGGUGGCGAGCGUUGUCCGGAAUUACUGGGCGUAAAGGGUGCGUAGGCGGUGCCUUAAGUCCUGUGUGAAAUCUAUCG